UUGAAGAGUUUGAUCAUGGCUCAGAUUGAACGCUGGCGGCAGGCCUAACACAUGCAAGUCGAACGGUAACAGGAAUCAGCUUGCUGAUUUGCUGACGAGUGGCGGACGGGUGAGUAAUGUCUGGGAAACUGCCUGAUGGAGGGGGAUAACUACUGGAAACGGUAGCUAAUACCGCAUAACGUCGCAAGACCAAAGAGGGGGACCUUCGGGCCUCUUGCCAUCGGAUGUGCCCAGAUGGGAUUAGCUAGUAGGUGGGGUAAAGGCUCACCUAGGCGACGAUCCCUAGCUGGUCUGAGAGGAUGACCAGCCACACUGGAACUGAGACACGGUCCAGACUCCUACGGGAGGCAGCAGUGGGGAAUAUUGCACAAUGGGCGCAAGCCUGAUGCAGCCAUGCCGCGUGUAUGAAGAAGGCCUUCGGGUUGUAAAGUACUUUCAGCGGGGAGGAAGGGAGUAAAGUUAAUACCUUUGCUCAUUGACGUUACCCGCAGAAGAAGCACCGGCUAACUCCGUGCCAGCAGCCGCGGUAAUACGGAGGGUGCAAGCGUUAAUCGGAAUUACUGGGCGUAAAGCGCACGCAGGCGGUUUGUUAAGUCAGAUGUGAAAUCCCCGGGCUCAACCUGGGAACUGCAUCUGAUACUGGCAAGCUUGAGUCUCGUAGAGGGGGGUAGAAUUCCAGGUGUAGCGGUGAAAUGCGUAGAGAUCUGGAGGAAUACCGGUGGCGAAGGCGGCCCCCUGGACGAAGACUGACGCUCAGGUGCGAAAGCGUGGGGAGCAAACAGGAUUAGAUACCCUGGUAGUCCACGCCGUAAACGAUGUCGACUUGGAGGUUGUGCCCUUGAGGCGUGGCUUCCGGAGCUAACGCGUUAAGUCGACCGCCUGGGGAGUACGGCCGCAAGGUUAAAACUCAAAUGAAUUGACGGGGGCCCGCACAAGCGGUGGAGCAUGUGGUUUAAUUCGAUGCAACGCGAAGAACCUUACCUGGUCUUGACAUCCACGGAAGUUUUCAGAGAUGAGAAUGUGCCUUCGGGAACCGUGAGACAGGUGCUGCAUGGCUGUCGUCAGCUCGUGUUGUGAAAUGUUGGGUUAAGUCCCGCAACGAGCGCAACCCUUAUCCUUUGUUGCCAGCGGUCCGGCCGGGAACUCAAAGGAGACUGCCAGUGAUAAACUGGAGGAAGGUGGGGAUGACGUCAAGUCAUCAUGGCCCUUACGACCAGGGCUACACACGUGCUACAAUGGCGCAUACAAAGAGAAGCGAUCUCGCGAGAGCAAGCGGACCUCAUAAAGUGCGUCGUAGUCCGGAUUGGAGUCUGCAACUCGACUCCAUGAAGUCGGAAUCGCUAGUAAUCGUGGAUCAGAAUGCCACGGUGAAUACGUUCCCGGGCCUUGUACACACCGCCCGUCACACCAUGGGAGUGGGUUGCAAAAGAAGUAGGUAGCUUAACCUUCGGGAGGGCGCUUACCACUUUGUGAUUCAUGACUGGGGUGAAGUCGUAACAAGGUAACCGUAGGGGAACCUGCGGUUGGAUCACCUCCUU
rnacentral:rRNA from 1 species